CAAUAGCGUAUAUUAAAGUUGUUGCAGUUAAAAGCUCGUAGUUGGAUUUCUGGCAGGAGCGACCGGUCCGCCGCAAGGUGUGCACUAGGUUGUCUCCAGUCAUCUUUGUGGGAACUGCUCUGGCAUUAGGUUGUCGGGUUAGGGGAACACAUCGUUUACUGUGAAAAAUUAGAGUGUUUAAAGCAGGCUUAUGCCGUUGAAUACAUUAGCAUGGAAUAAUAAGAUAGGACUUUGGUGGUCUAUUUUGUUGGUUUGCACACCAAGGUAAUGAUUAAUAGGGAUAAGUUGGGGGGUAUUUCGUAGUUUAAUUGUCAGAGGUGAAAAUUCUUGGAUUUAUGAAAGACGAACUACUGCGAAAGCAUUUACCAAAGAUGUUUUCAUUAAUCAAGAACGAAAGUUAGGGGAUCGAAGAC
rnacentral:rRNA from 1 species